UGGGGAAUCUUCCGCAAUGGACGAAAGUCUGACGGAGCAACGCCGCGUGAGUGAAGACGGCCUUCGGGUUGUAAAGCUCUGUGAUCCGGGACGAAAGAGCCUGAGGUGAAUAGCCUAAGGAAGUGACGGUACCGGAAAAGCAAGCCACGGCUAACUACGUGCCAGCAGCCGCGGUAAUACGUAGGUGGCAAGCGUUGUCCGGAAUUAUUGGGCGUAAAGCGCGCGCAGGCGGCUUCCUAAGUCCAUCUUAAAAGUGCGGGGCUUAACCCCGUGAUGGGAUGGAAACUGGGAAGCUGGAGUAUCGGAGAGGAAAGUGGAAUUCCUAGUGUAGAGGUGAAAUGCGUAGAGAUUAGGAAGAACACCGGUGGCGAAGGCGACUUUCUGGACGAAAACUGACGCUGAGGCGCGAAAGCGUGGGGAGCAAACAGG
rnacentral:rRNA from 1 species